rnacentral:rRNA from 1 species
CCUACGGGAGGCAGCAGUGAGGAAUAUUGGUCAAUGGGCGCGAGCCUGAACCAGCCAAGUAGCGUGAAGGAUGACUGCCCUACGGGUUGUAAACUUCUUUUAUAAAGGAAUAAAGUGAGGCACGUGUGCCUCUUUGUAUGUACUUUAUGAAUAAGGAUCGGCUAACUCCGUGCCAGCAGCCGCGGUAAUACGGAGGAUCCGAGCGUUUUCCGGAUUUAUUGGGGUUAAAGGGAGCGUAGAUGGGUUUUUAAGUCAGUUGUGAAAGUUUGCGGCUCAACCGUAAAAUUGCAAUUGAUACUGGAGGUCUUGAGUACAGUUGAGGUAGGCGGAAUUCGUGGUGUAGCGGUGAAAUGCUUAGAUAUCACGAAGAACUCCGAUUGCGAAGGCAGGUUACCGAAAUGCCACUGACAUUGAUGCUCGAAAGUGUGGGUAUCAAACAGGAUUAGAUACCCGAGUAGUC